GGGGAGUUGAUUAAGCUAUUGAAAGAGUUUUGAAGGACUCAAAGCUAGUAGGAACAUCAAAACCUAAAGCAAGAACAACAAGAGGUAAGAACAAGGGCAAGGCAGAGCAGUGAGCGCUGGAGUCUACCUUGCGAAUGUACAUGUGGACCGACCUUUUGGGAAGCCGUUUUAUUUUUGGAAAUGUUAUGUUAUUUUCAUAAACUAGGCUCACUAUACUCUUUAUAAAAUAUGUUUGUUUUUAAAUAUUAA